UCCAGUAACAUUACCGAAGGGGCAACACCCGUUCCCAUUCCGAACACGGAAGUUAAGGCCUUCGAGGUCGAUGGUACUAUCUUCGCAAGGAGACGGGAGAGUAGAACGUUGCUGGGC
rnacentral:rRNA from 1 species